AAAGGGUGCGUAGGCGGUUUGACAAGUCUUAUGUGAAAUCUCUGGGCUCAACCCAGAGUCUGCAUGGGAAACUGUCGGGCUUGAGGAUGGGAGAGGUGAGUGGAAUUUCCGGUGUAGCGGUGAAAUGCGUAGAUAUCGGAAGGAACACCUGUGGCGAAAGCGGCUCACUGGACCAUUUCUGACGCUGAUGCACGAAAGCCGGGGGAGCAAACAGGAUUAGAUACCCUAGU
rnacentral:rRNA from 1 species